GUCGUACUUACGAAGGUGACGACAAAGCAGCGCAAGGAAGCGGUGUCGGAUCAUUGGUGGACCGUUGUUAGCUUUAGCGAAGUAGGUUUGAGCAGGCUUAAGGUUGAAGGCGAUUGUAUGUUUAUGUUGUGCUGAAACGAAAAGAAGUAGACGUCGGAAGGUGUGGAAGAGUCUUUGCUCUUGGAAUCAUGUCGUGGUGAGUGGAUUGGAGAAAGAGGUCGUCGUCAUGGUGUAAAAGUUGUGAUCAACAUUGUUUAGAAGUGAACAGACACGUUGGGAGUUGUGCACACGGAGAGCAGGUGGAAGUGGUGUGCCGUUGGAGUCCACUCGUGACAGCGAAAGACAUGGUUGGCCUCCCGACGGAAGGACAGUGAGUAGAGGUUUGUGGGUGAUGUGGUCAUUUGUCGAAUGUGUGACCAAUGUGAUGUGUGAGUAGGAGUUGGGGGACCGGAGGUGACGGAGUAGGAAGAAGAUGGAUCCUGGUUGAAGGCGGAGAGGCUAACGUGGACUGCAUGAGAAGUCGGAGGUAACGGGGACUGGAUCAGAAGUCCUGUGUGCCGUGGGUGAGAGAAGGUACGGGAGUCGGAGCUGCGUUCCGGGUGCUGUGGGGGAGCGAAGGUACACGUUGGAUCUGGAUGUGGAGCUGGGAGUACGGGAGUCGGAGAGGCUAAGGAGGACUGCGUCAGAAGUCAGAACUGCGUUGUCGGGGCCGUGGCGGAGUGAAGAUAUUGCCAAGGUGCUGGAAGACUAAAGGGAUUCGUCGACGUUCAAGUGGCGGACUCCGAGGACCUGGAAUGGGCGCAAAGGACAGGAGGUCCACCAACAACAAUGGAUUGUUGUUGGUGGUUGUGUUGUGGCGAUGUUGUAAGAAUCAGCAUGUGGUGUCACGGAGAGUCAAAGAUGGGGUAUUAGUUUAGCGAGGGAAGGGUUAGCGAUAGCAGUUGUAGUUUACAAUGAGUGAGAGCUUAGUGAUGUGGAUUACCUUCGCACUACACAUUACUUUGCAUGCACUACUACUACUACACAUUAGUUUGCAUGCACUACUACUACUACAGAUUACUUUGCAUGUACUACUACUACAAGUGUUCUUCCUCUUUUUCGUGGUGUUUGAAGGAAUCCAGUCACGAGUUCUCAGCGGCUGCCGAGUUCAUGGAUGCGGUGUCCAAAACCAGAGCCGGUACCCUCUGGUUUAGUGAGCCGCUCUUUGGACGGUGUAGCGUUAUGCUGAAAUGCAACCACUCAAUCAGUAAAUGGGAGAGGUUGCUGAGAUGAGUUUGUAGUCAUAGCAUUAGUGACCUAAUGGUCUGGUAAAGGCCUAUCUGUGAGGACAUGCUGAUUCACUGAAAGUGUUGUUGUUAUUAUGUUUGUGUUCAAAUGAAGUAGUUGAAAUGUGACAUCGUAGUGCUGUUGGUAGUCAGGUAGAAGUGUUUGGGGUUGUGUCGUGGGUGUUAGCGACGUAACUUUCUGAGUAAUGCUAUGUGUUGCUCAGUAAGGGGGUGUAUUGUUUUGUUUGUGUUGUAUGUUUUGUUUUGUGACUAUGUGUUUGAAUUGUGUGUGGUUGUAGUGAAACGGUACCGUUUGUGAGAGUGUUUUGUGUGUCAAAAUUUGCAGAGCUUUGUUGAAUGGGAGUUUGUGGGUAUUGUUCAGUGACUUGAUGUCCUGACAGCAGUUUAUGUGAUAUUUGUUGUUGUUGUGUGUGGAUUUUGGCAUUGUUGUAUGGUUUGUUGUGAUUGCCCUCUGUGGCAGGUUGUUGUGAAGGCUGAUUUAAUGGUUUUGUGUUUGGCUGUGUACUGUUGGGGGGGGUUUUGUUUGUUUUCUCACUGUAAUGUUUGACUAUGUGGCGCUCGCUGUUAUUGCUUUGCAGUGUUUAUUGGGGGAUUUGUGUUUGGCUAUUGUUUAUGUGACUUUGUUGUGUUUAUUGUUGUGUCUUUGUGUUUGGCUGUGUUGUGUGUGUUUAGCAUUGUUUGUGUUGUUGUUUGGUGUGUGUAGUGAAACGGUACCGUUUGUGAGAGUGUUUUGUGUGUCAAAAUUUGCAGAGCUUUGUUGCAUUGGAGUUUGUGGGUAUUGUUUUGUGAUUUGAUGUGCUGACUGCUGUUCAUGUGACAUUUGUUGUUGCUGUGUGUGGGAUUUCGCAUUGCUGUGUGGUUUGUUGCAAUUGUUCUCAGUGGCAGGUUGUUGUGAAGGCUGAUUAAAUGGUUUUGUGUUA